rnacentral:rRNA from 1 species
GUCUUGUAAUUGGAAUGAUGGUGACCUAAACCCUCACCAGAGUAACAAUUGGAGGGCAAGUCUGGUGCCAGCAGCCGCGGUAAUUCCAGCUCCAAUAGCGUAUAUUAAACUUGUUGCAGUUAAAAAGCUCGUAGUUGAAUUUCUGCGUUAUCGAGUUAUUGACUCUUGUCUUUAAUCGAUUUCGCUUUUGGGAUUUAUCCCUUUUUACUUUGAGAAAAUUAGAGUGUUUCAAGCAGACUUUUGUCUUGAAUACUUCAGCAUGGAAUAAUAGAGUAGGACUUUGGUUCUAUUUUGUUGGUUUUUGAACCUUAGUAAUGGUUAAUAGGAACGGUUGGGGGCAUUCGUAUUUAACUGUCAGAGGUGAAAUUCUUAGAUUUGUUAAAGACGAACUACUGCGAAAGCAUUUGCCAAGGACGUUUCCAUUAAUCAAGAACGAAAGUUAGGGGAUCGAAGACGAUCAGAUAUUAGGGGAUCGAAGACGAUCAGAUACCGUCGUAGUCCUAACCAUAAACUA